rnacentral:tRNA from 1 species
GGUCUGAAGUUUUGGAAACACUGGACCUUGAAUGUCCAUCU